rnacentral:piRNA from 1 species
UCCAUUUCUGGCACCCAUGUUCAAAUCCUAA